rnacentral:rRNA from 1 species
UCGGGAAUAUUGGACAAUGGGCGCAAGCCUGAUCCAGCCAUGCCGCGUGUGUGAAGAAGGCCUUCGGGUUGUAAAGCACUUUAAGUUGUGAAGAAGGUUGUACGGUUAAUAGCCGUGCAAAUUGACAUUAGCAACAGAAUAAGCACCGGCUAACUCCGUGC